rnacentral:lncRNA from 1 species
CGCAUAUACGGAAGUCAUUCCUCUGAAAAUCCGUAACCCUCUGGGACAGCUGCUGGGUAAUUGUCCGUUUGAUCCGGGAGAGUCCAAGCCUAGAACACCAGAUUCCCAAAGCUACAGGGUCUUAAGAACUAUCUGGAGAUUGGAAAAGGUCACUACAAAUCAUAGUGACAGAGACAGGAGACCGCAAAUGGUCUCCAGCGAAACACUGCCUUCAAGUCUAAAACAGCCUGAAGGCUGAAAAACUGGACUGCUGGUCCCGGAUGAAGCCCGCCCUUUCCUGACUGAUUCUCCCUAACAAUGCCCACCUGCGCACUGGGAGGACAGGGUGGAGCUUCGGAAAGUUUGCGCCGGUUUGCAGUGGGGAGGAGCCUGGCCUCUUCAGUUCUGGGUGGUGACCUGGAAUUCAAUUUGUGAGGCGGGAAACGUGCCAGCGGGACUCUCUCUUGCUUUGCUGUGAGUUAUUUUUCCAUUAUCCUGUUCACCCAGUAAAUUCCAUUUUCCUCACCUUUCUUUGUGUCCGCGAGCCUUAUGUUUCCUGGUCGUAUGACAAGAGACUGUUUUUAGCCAAACUAAGGAGAAAAUUCUGCAACAGUAGCAAGAGAUAGAAUCUAUUACUGCCACUUCUUCCAACCCUCCAAAAUGACUGUGCAUUCCUACCCAUUACCUUGUGAUUUGCAGUGCUUCCAGUGGGAGGAUCAUAUAUUCCUUCCACAUUAAUGGCAUGUGAGCAACACUGAAUAGAUUUCUGAACCAAAACAUAGCUUUAUCACCUCUCUUACUCUUUUUCCUUUAUGCUGAGAUCAUUGUUGUCCAAGUAGAGCUUCAGUUUCUGUCUUGGUCCCAGACUUCAUGGAGCAGAGAAAAGCUGUUUCCGUAGUGCCUUACCUGAUUUUCUAGUCAACAGUUGCUGUUUUAUACCACAAAGUUUGGAGUACUUUUAUACAGCAAUUAAUGGCAGAAUAGUAAUUCACUUAUAUGUAACACUGAGCAUAUAUUUUAAAUUUAAAAUAUGUUUUGUUUCAAAUAUGUUUGAAAACUAUAUUUGACAAUAGUCAACUAGCCAUGAACACAGAAAAAUUUACAAAUACAUUCCCCAGGCAGUCAGCUCAGACUGCUACUGGCUCAAGGUAUUGAAAUUUUUUUUCAAUUUAUUUUUUUGUGGUGAAAUGCACAUAAUGUAGCAUUUACCCUCUUAAUCAUUUUAAGUGUAACGUUCAGUCAUAUUAAAUAAUUAUACUGUUUUACAACCAUCACCUCCAUACAUCUUUAUAAUUAUUUUCAUAUUAUAAAACUGAAACUCUGUAUACAUUCAACAGUAACUCCCCAUUUCCCCCUUCUCUUGGCAACCAUCAUUCUACUUUCUGUCUCUGUGAUUUGGACUACUCUAGGAUCUCAUGUAAGUGAAAUCAUAUAGUAUUUGUCUUUUGGAAACUAGCUUAUUUCACUUAGUACAAUGUCCUCAAAAUUAAUCCAUGUUGUAGAAUAUGUCAUAAUUAUACUUUUUUCUAAGGUUGAAUAAUAUUUUAUUGUAUGCAUGUGCCACAUUUGGCUUAUCUAGUCAUCUGUUGAUGUACACCUGUUUUGUUUAUACAUAUUAGCCAUAUUAACUAUUGUGAAUAUUGCUGCUAUAAACGUGGUUAUACAACUAUCUCUUUGAGACCCUGUUUUCAAUUUGUUUUGGUAUAUACUCAUAAAUGAAAUUGCUAGAUCAUAUUAUAAUUUCAUUUUUAACUUUUUGAGAAACUGCCAUACUGUAUUUAACAGUAUAUAUAUUU